AAUUUUAAUAUUUCAGUUUCGACCCCGUUUGGUCACCGAAAACUGUACCGAACUGUAAUCUUUAUCAGAUAGCUGUCGAAUUUUAUUUUCCACCUUCUGGGUGUCAGAAUGAUAUGAAACAUUAAAUCUGGCCUCAUAAAAAUAAUUCUGACUUAUCCUCCAGUUUUCAUAAUUUUCUGAAACUGUGUAUUUUUUGCUAAUUUAUUUGUCCCGUUUCCAACAGAAAAUUCUAAAUUUUCUAUUUUCACUUCGAUUUCAGCACAAGUCACUUCUGACUUAUGUUUUACUCCUCUAAAUCCAAUAAAAAUAGUAUCUCACACUAUUUUUAUUUAUUUUUAUUUUUAUACCAAAAUCUAGUAUGUUACAUUCUCCACCCCUUAAAAUAAUUUCGUCCGCGAAAUUCAAACCACGCCUCAAUUCAGCUCCGUGAGCAAUUG
rnacentral:lncRNA from 1 species